UGGGUGUUCUGAGAAGGGUUUACCAGG
rnacentral:piRNA from 1 species